rnacentral:rRNA from 1 species
AUGAAUGGUGAGAGAAGGGUCCAUUGGAUAUCAUGGCAGAAGAUGUGUGCUAGCAAGAGAGAUGGUGGCAUGGGGUUCCGGAAUUACGAGGCGUUCAACCAAGCCCUGCUGGCCAAGCAAGCGUGGCGCAUUCUGCAAGUGCCGACCUCUCUCGGUGCUAGGGUUCUCAAGGCCCGGUAUUUUAAGGACGACUCGAUCCUAUCCGCCUCCUGUUCGGCUGCUGGUUCGUUUACCUUUCGAAGCAUACUGCAUGGUCGCGAC